AAAUUUCUCUAAUUUUAAAAAAAAAAAUCAUUACGGUUAAAAUGAGAGCAAAUACAAAUAAAAUUACUAAAUUACGAUUUUUCACAUGACAUUCUCACAGUCACUGCCAUGUUACACUGUCUGUACCACGUGCAGGAUCUCAUUUGACACGUAACAAAGUAUUUUUAAAAAAAAAAUAAAAAAAAUAAAAAGACCGCAUACU
rnacentral:lncRNA from 1 species